GAUGAACGCUGGCGGCGUGCCUAAUACAUGCAAGUCGAGCGAACGGACGAGAAGCUUGCUCCUCUUUUGUUAGCGGCGGACGGGUGAGUAACACGUGGAUAACCUACCUAUAAGCCUGGGAUAACUUCGGGAAACCGGUGCUAGUACCGGAUAAUAUCUUUAACCGUAUGGUUCAAAAGUGAAAGACGGUCUUGCUGUCCCUUAUAGUUGUAUCCCCGCUUCUUUAGCUAGUUGGUAAGGUAACGGUUUACCAAGGGAACGAACCUUAGCCAACCUGAAAGGGGGUUCGGCCAAACUGGAACGGGGCCACGGCCCAGACUCCUAGGGGAGGCAGCAGAAGGGAAUCUUCGGCAUUGGGGGAAGGCCUGACGGAGCAACGCGGGGUGAGUGAUGAAGUUCUUCGGAUCUUAAAACUCUGUUAUUAGGGAGGAACAUAUGUGGAAGUGACUGUGCACAUCUUGACGGUACCUAAUCAGAAAGCCACGGCUAACUACGUG
rnacentral:rRNA from 1 species